AUUGAACGCUGGCGGCAGGCCUAACACAUGCAAGUCGAGCGAGCGGCGGACGGGUGAGUAAUGUAUGGGGACUGCCCGAUAGAGGGGGGUAACUACUGGAAACGGUAGCUAAAACCGCAUACUAUCGGAUAACCCAUAUGGGAUUGGCUAGUAGGUGAGGUAAUGGCGUACCUAGGCGACGAGCCCUAGCUGGUCUGUGAGGAUGAUCAGCCACACGGGGAUGGGGACACGGCCCAGACGCCUACGGAGGCAGCAGGGGGGAAUAGUGCACAAUUGGCGCAAGCCUGAUGCAGCCAUGCCGCGUGUAUGAAGAAGGCCCUAGGGUUGUAAAGUACUUUCAGUCGGGAGGCGUUACCGACAGAAGAAGCACCGGCUAACUCCGUGCCAGCAGCCGCGGUAAUAC
rnacentral:rRNA from 1 species